rnacentral:rRNA from 1 species
UACGUAGGGUCCGAGCGUUGUCCGGAAUUACUGGGCGUAAAGAGCUCGUAGGUGGUUUGUCGCGUUGUUCGUGAAAACUCACAGCUCAACUGUGGGCGUGCGGGCGAUACGGGCAGACUUGAGUACUGCAGGGGAGACUGGAAUUCCUGGUGUAGCGGUGGAAGUGCGCAGAUAUCAGGAAGAACACCCGUGGCGAAGGCGGCUUUCUGGGACGGUACU